rnacentral:lncRNA from 1 species
AUCUCAGUCAAGUUGUGGCGUCAGUUACACGAAUGGUAACUGUAAUUCAAACUGGUCACUGGAAAAAGUGCCGCUGUGUGGGAAUCAAUUGUAGUUUCUCCGGAAAAGAUGUUACAGCCAGUGUAUGAAGACUGAACUUUUGGUACGGUCACAGGUGCUCUUGCAAAGACUGAUGGCUUGGCAGCAUAAACUGUUCUAUGGUUAUAGGGGUAAUGUCUUUAAACAGAAGCAUGCUGUUGUGGAGUGAAAGUGCACAAACCAUUGAUAACCCUUUGAAGAAUCAGUACCAGGUGUGGCAAGAAGUUUGAAAUCAAAGUCACAAGAAGUUGUUUGAUGAUGGAAGUAUCUGUGAUCAUUUAGUAUUUCCAGUGGUUCAGAGGAACAGAUUACACUCAGUUAAAACUAAAUGUGAUAUUUAUCUAUUUGUGAAUGAACGAGGACUUAAUGAGGAUAAAAUGUUAAGAAGACAAACCUGAUGCGGCAACAAUUUUGUGACAGUAUCAGUGUAAUAUUUAAACAUGUACAACUGUUUUUCAUUAUAAAUGCAGUAAAAGGUUAUACAAUGUUAAAACUGCUUUACACUUUUUAUGCGAGGGAAUAUGUUGUAUAUGGUCACUAUAGAUGUUUUUCCAUUUGAUGAAAUAAUAUUGUGGGUGAACCGGUGAAGAAUAUAUUGACCAAAUCUGUCAUGUUGACCAUAAUGUUCCGUGCAACCUUUAUUGUACAAAAUGUAGAUUUGUUAUAGCACCAAAUAAUAGUGAG